rnacentral:rRNA from 1 species
UACGUAGGCAGCGAGCGUUGUUCGGAAUUACUGGGCGUAAAGGGCGCGUAGGCGGGAUGGCAAGUCGGUCGUGAAAUCCCUCGGCUCAACCGAGGAACGUCGAUCGAUACUGCUGUUCUUGAGGAUUGCAGAGGAGACUGGAAUUCCCGGUGUAGCAGUGAAAUGCGUAGAGAUGUGGAGGAACACCGAUGGCGAAGGCAGCCUCCUGGGCCAGCACUGACGCUCAUGCACGAAAGCGUGGGGAGCAAACAGG